rnacentral:rRNA from 1 species
UACAUAGGGGGCUAGCGUUGUCCGGAUUUAUUGGGCGUAAAGAGCGUGUAGGCGGCCAGGUAGGUCUGCUGUGAAAACUCGAGGCUCAACCUCGAGACGUCGGCGGAAACCAUCUGGCUAGAGUCCGGAAGAGGAGAGUGGAAUUCCCAGUGUAGAGGUGAAAUUCGUAGAUAUUGGGAAGAACACCGGUGGCGAAGGCGGCUCUCUGGACCGACACUGACGCUGAGGCGCGAAAGCGUGGGGAGCAAACAGG